rnacentral:piRNA from 1 species
UACAAAAUUAUUUGGCAUAUU